GACGAACGCUGGCGGCGUGCUUAACACAUGCAAGUCGAACGGAAAGGCCCUGCUUGCAGGGUACUCGAGUGGCGAACGGGUGAGUAACACGUGGGUGAUCUGCCCUGCACUUCGGGAUAAGCCUGGGAAACUGGGUCUAAUACCGGAUAGGAGCCAUUUUUAGUGUGAUGGUUGGAAAGUUUUUUCGGUGUAGGAUGAGCUCGCGGCCUAUCAGCUUGUUGGUGGGGUAAUGGCCUACCAAGGCGGCGACGGGUCGCCGGCCUGAGAGGGUGGACGGCCACAUGGGGACUGAGAUACGGCCCAGACUCCAACGGGAGGCAGCAGGGGGGAAUAUUGCACAAUGGGCGCAAGCCGGAUGCAGCGACGCCGGGUGGGGGAUGACGGCCUGCGGGUUGUAAACUCCUUUCGCUAGGGACGAAGCUGUUGUGACGGUACCUAGAGAAGAAGCACCGGCUAACUACGUG
rnacentral:rRNA from 1 species